rnacentral:misc_RNA from 1 species
GAUGAAGAACGUAGCGAAAUGCGAUAAGUAAUGCGAAUUGCAGAAUUCAGUGAGUCAUCGAAUCUUUGAACGCACAUUGCGCCCGCCAGUAUUCUGGCGGGCAUGCCUGUUCGAGCGUCAUUUCAACCCUCAAGCCCCCGGGCUUGGUGUUGGGGAUCGGCGUGCCCUCGCGGCGCGCCGUCCCCUAAAUCUAGUGGCGGUCUCGCUGUAGCUUCCUCUGCGUAGUAGCAACACUCGCACUGGAUCGCAGCGCGGCCACGCCGUUAAACCCCCCACUUCUGAAAGUUUGACCUCGGAUCAGGUAGGAAUACCCGCUGAACUUAAGCAUAUCAAUAAGCGGAGGA